GACGAACGCUGGCGGCGUGCCUAAUACAUGCAAGUUGAGCGCUGAAGGUUGGUACUUGUACCAACUGGAUGAGCAGCGAACGGGUGAGUAACGCGUGGGGAAUCUGCCUUUGAGCGGGGGACAACAUUUGGAAACGAAUGCUAAUACCGCAUAAAAACUUUAAACACAAGUUUUAAGUUUGAAAGAUGCAAUUGCAUCACUCAAAGAUGAUCCCGCGUUGUAUUAGCUAGUUGGUGAGGUAAAGGCUCACCAAGGCGAUGAUACAUAGCCGACCUGAGAGGGUGAUCGGCCACAUUGGGACUGAGACACGGCCCAAACUCCUACGGGAGGCAGCAGUAGGGGAUCUUCGGCAAUGGACGAAGGUCUGACCGAGCAACGCCGCGUGAGUGAAGAAGGUUUUCGGAUCGUAAAACUCUGUUGGUAGAGAAGAACGUUGGCGAGAGUGGAAAGCUCAUCAAGUGACGGUAACUACACAGAAAGGGACGGCUAACUACGUG
rnacentral:rRNA from 1 species